CACAGAGCACGGUGGUGGCCAACAGCCACCCACGGCGACGUGCGGGACAGUGCCACAGAGAACAGACCGCCAGCGGCCCCGCGGCCUUCGGGCCACGGGGUGCGGGCAAGGGUGAAACGGUGAGGUAAGAGCUCACCAGCGACGUCGGCGACGGCGUCGGCUCGGUAAACCCCACCGGGAGCAAGACCAAGAGGGCGCUCCGGCGCCUGCGCUGACGGGCUGCUCGUCCGACGUCAGCGGGUAGGUCGCUCGAGGCACGCAGCAAUGCGUGACCCAGAUGGAUGGUCGCCCCCCAGCCCUCGGGCCGGGG
rnacentral:misc_RNA from 1 species